rnacentral:lncRNA from 1 species
UAAUAUUGAAAAUAACUUCAAAUGGAAUUACGCGCGUUUCUAUUGACUUCAAACGAAAUUUUCGGAUAGGAAUAGCGACCAGCGUUGAAUUAGAGACUCGAAAGCGAUCCGACCUAAUUAAUUUAUUCGCAUAUGGAGAACGCAUCGUUAUUGAUUGAUUAGCAGACGCGGCCUAAACCGCGGAAUAAUUUUCAUUUCACGUACAGGGGGAAAUACUCAGACACGACAUAUUCGUUUUUACCGACCGAACCCGACGCGGACGAAUCUUUUUUCGUUUUUCGGCGCGCGAAACCGUGGCGCAAAGGAAGAAGAAGGGGAGAGACGUAGUAGAGUAUGAUGACAGCGGAAAGACACGACCACCAUAGAGAGAAUGUCGAUCUCGUUUUUGCGAACGGUUGGAAGACACGCGGAAUGGACGUUUGUCGAUAUCGUUUACACGAACGACACGUACGUAUAAGUUACGAUGAUGUGAGGCAGAUCCAUUAGACUAUGCAAUUGUCCACGUAUUGCAUUGUCAGCCACCAUAGAGAUUUCUAUUCAGAAAUCGCGGAAGUCCCCGGAUGCAUUGACGAGAGGUAGAGGAUGAUCGAGGACCGCUCUUGUUGCGAGAAGGAAAGAGACACGAGAGAGACGGAAUACCAUGAUCGAGGAUACUGGUUACUCGUAUUUCCCUUUUUUCCCCUCUCUUCCUAAUUGUCAUACGUGAUAUUCGUUUCUACGGAAGUCAAGAAUCUUUUCUACCGUGUGUACAUAUAUUAGAAAUUGUCAGAAAUUUUAUUUUAACUAUCACGUACGUAUAUAUAGAUAAAUUUAUAUAAUUAAAAUGUUUUAAUUUCAAAUAGAUAACAUUCGUGUAUCAUAACGUAAGUAACAUAACCUAAAAUUAUCGACAUGAUUAAUUUAUUAUCAUACAAUCUUUUUAUUUAGAUUACUAUAAAACUAAUUCGAUUUCUUAGAAGAACCAUCUCUUUCAUUCAUCAAUUUUUCUUUAUUGAUGAAAUCGUAACAAGAUUCUUCGAAUGAUUGAACAAAAGCUUUCGGUCCCCUAAUUAACCCAGUUCAAAGAUCCCGUGUCGGUGAAAUGAAUCUUUGUUACGCCCCGAUUCGCUUCUGUGGAAACACACGCACGCCGCUUGAUCGAGGGUGAACACGGGUUUGAAUAAAAAGCUUUUUACAUGACCAGGAGAAAUAAAAGAGCGUGCGCGAGAGGAAAGGAAGAAAAAUCUCGGAUUUCCCGUUCUGCUACGCGCCCUUGUCUUUUGCCCUCUCGAGUUUCCUGGAUCGUUCUUACCACGCCCAGCAAUUUGCCUUGUGCUACAACUUUGCGAUCGAUUAUUCCUCGAUUAUGGUGUAACGAGAUAUCCAAUGGUAAUAUCCGUAGUACACAUGGCCAUUGUUCGAUUAUAAAACCAAUAGUCUAUUUUAUUACGUUUUCUUAAUAUCCCGGUCUCCAUAUACCUGUGGGCCUAUCAUGAAACAAUUAUGUCCUCCCUACAUCAUUCAUUUCAAAUUACAUGAUGUAUGAGUAUUCUAUGAUUACAACCAAUGAUUGACAAGAAAAGGAUAGGAAGGAAGGAUUGAAACGCACAAAAGCUUAAUUCUCUAUCCGGGAUCCAUGAAUUUUCUAUCUAACUGGAGCAUUUAUACGAAGCAUCGGUGGUUUUAUUUAAAUACCCGGGAAGGAUUCAGUGGCCAAAAAAUCGGCGAACCGUAAAGAAAGAUUCACGGAUAAAAAGGGGAUCCGUUUGAUCGCGGACCAGCGCUUGAAGCGUGGUGAAAAACCAGUCCCGACCGUAUCACUCCAUUUCUUUGGUCAGGAUCGGGCCAAACAAUUAAACUCGAAUGAGAAAAUCUCUUUUGAUGGCGAUGUACCGCGAUGAACGCACGACGGACAUAUUAGUAUAAUAAGCAACGAUCUGUGUACGCAUAUAUAGAUUAUGACAACAAAGAGGAUGAAUGAAAGAAACGACGGAGAUAGCAGUAGCAAUGAUGAAAAGAACUAGAUGUACAGAUAUACCCGCCACCACAUUGCGUAUGAGCGUGGUGACGAGAAGAAUCAAUUGGUCUGCGAUCACGAAUACAUAUUCACAUGUACAUACUACGGAAGGAAGCGAGAGCGGAAAAAGUGAAGAAAUGAGAGCGAUAAGGAAAGCAGAUCGAAGGAAGGAGGAAGGGAAUCCAAUAUAACUGCACACACGUUUAUAGGGUCGAUGGGAAUAUAUUGGAGCGGAUAUUGAAAUACUUGUUGGUAGUUUGAGUCGAAGGCGAGAGAUGCCUUUCUCGAUGCCAUCUUGAUUGCGCAAUCGAGGCAUCGGUCCACGAGUACAGAAUUUAACGAUAAAGAUCGUACAGAUUAUAGAAUCCUAGACGGGGAACAAAGUCCCCUUCCUACCUAUCCUUCUUUCCCAGGUUUUGUGCCUUUAUCGGUAUUACGAACCUCAACUUCUUGUUGUUUACUACAUCAUUUCCUUAAACGAGAUGUUAUGUUAUACAAUUACAUUUAGCAAUUUAACUUUGUCUUUAAAAAUAUUUUGUAGUAAUAUGGAUUUUAUUCACUUAUCUAUUUCAUAAUUAUUUGAAGAAAAUAUAAGAUUAAAUUUUUUUUCGAAUUGAGUUACAUUAUAAAAAUAUAAAUUAUCGAAAAUAUAA